rnacentral:lncRNA from 1 species
GGAGACUGGAGGAUGUUAAGGUUCUGGUGAAUGAAAUGUCUAAUUCUAAUAUUUCUCUCGAUGUUGUUACCUUUAAUAUAUUGAUUGAUGCAUACUGCAAGGAGAGAAAGAUGGAAGAGGCUGAGGAUUUGUUGGAAAUUAUGAAGCAACGUAACGUAUGCCCUACUGUUGUCACUUAUAAUACGCUGAUUGAUGGGUAUUGUUUGAGAGGAGAAAUUGACAAAGCACGACAAGUACUUGAUUCCAUGGUUGACAAGGGACUUAAGCCUGAUAUUGUUACCUACAACUGCUUAUUAAAUGGAUAUUGCAGAAAGGGGAGAAUAGACGAAGCUUGGCUUCAUUUUCAGGAAUUUCCUUGUAAAGGUCUGGAGCAUGAUACAUGUACUUACACAACCAUGAUACAUGGAUUGUUUAGUGAACGUAGAUUUCCGAGGGGCUGGAAGCUUUCAAGGAUAUGGAAGCUCGACGAGUAUGUCCUGAUAUAUAUACUNAUGUGUAAAUUUAUGUCACAUAAUACUUAUUAAAAAACGGAGGAAGUUAGUAUGUACUUUUGAAAAAAAUAUUUAAUUUUAGAUGUUUUUCGAGUGCUCAAUAAUUUAAAAUGUCAUCAAUUUAUCAGAUGAAUUAAUAUUUCUUGAGCGAAAAACUUACAACUAUGAUUAAUUAUCAAUCAAUACUUGAAUAAGAUAAAAAUGCAUUGUUGAUACAAAAAGACCAUAAUCAGUAAUCAACUUGAAAGAAAUCUAAAUUAUAACAGUCAAUCGUAAUUUAUUAUUAUUAUUAUUAUUAUUAUUAUUAUUAUUAUUAUUAUUAUUAUUAUUAUUAUUAUUAUUUUCGAGUUUCGAUUGAAUCCAAAUAGAAUUACACAUUUGGUCCAUGAUUAUAUAUUUGGCCCAAUAGAAUUUGGGCUGGCCCAAUUCAACCCAAAUUACACACAUUUGGUCCAUGAUUUGUUCUUAAAAAAAGAACUAACAGAAAAAUAUCUUCACUCUUGCAAAACAUCCUCAGCAUCUGUUGCAAUUUCAACCCUUUUUUCUGCGAUUAACGAUUAUGAGUAGAAGAGCUGCUGUUACUGCAAUCGAUCUCAUUCAUGGAAGAGGAUUUCUCAAUCAAUGGUCGCAUAAAUCGGGUAUUAUCUCUCCUCCAUUCUCUCUCUUCUCUUCCAAGGCUUUUCAACCUAAGCAGCCCAGAAUCGAUUUCAGCUGUAUUAAAGAAUUAAAUGAUGCUAUUGGAGUGUUUCAAAAAAUGAAGAGUAUGCAGCCGGAGCCUUCUGUUCGAAUGUAUAACAAUCUUUUGAGUGUCACUGUAAAGAUUGAGCAGUAUUCUUUUGCCCUUUAUAUGUUUGCUGAAAUGCUUAGGAUGGGUGUCCCUGUUAAUGUUUACACGAUGACUAUUGCUGUGAAUUGUUGUUGUCUCUUGAAAGAUAUAAAAUCUGGCUUUGCUGUAAUGGGUAUAUUUUUCAAGAGAGGCUACGAACCAAAUGUCGCGACUUUCACCACUCUGAUUAAAGGGUUGUUUUUAGAUCAUAGGGUGGUCGAGGCUGGGAAAUUGUUCAAUAAGCUUUUGUGUUUCGGAAUAUGUGAGCCUAAUGAUGUUAUGAUUCUGACGAUGGUAGAUGGGCUUUGUAAAUCAGGAAAUGUCCUUCCAGCGAGAGAUUUAGUUCGUAGAUUAGAAAGAAGUAGGUUGAGACCUAAUGUCAAGGCUUAUAGUGCAUUGCUCGACGGGCUACGCAAAUCUGGAAUGGUGGAUGAUGCUCUCCAGCUCCUAUCCGCGAUGAUCGAAAAGGGUAUUACACCCGAUGUUGUCACGUACAACUCAAUGAUUCAGGGGUUGUGCGACCUAGGGAGACUGGAGGAUGUUAAGGUUCUGGUGAAUGAAAUGUCUAAUUCUAAUAUUUCUCUCGAUGUUGUUACCUUUAAUAUAUUGAUUGAUGCAUACUGCAAGGAGAGAAAGAUGGAAGAGGCUGAGGAUUUGUUGGAAAUUAUGAAGCAACGUAACGUAUGCCCUACUGUUGUCACUUAUAAUACGCUGAUUGAUGGGUAUUGUUUGAGAGGAGAAAUUGACAAAGCACGACAAGUACUUGAUUCCAUGGUUGACAAGGGACUUAAGCCUGAUAUUGUUACCUACAACUGCUU